rnacentral:rRNA from 1 species
GACGAACGCUGGCGGCGUGCUUAAUACAUGCAAGUCAACUGAACUUUAGGUAGCAAUAUUUAAAGGGAGGUGGCGCACGGGUGAGUAACACGUAGGUAAUCUGCCUUCAGGACUGACAUAACUCCGCGAAAGCGGGACUAAAAUCAGAUGAUGCAGCGGCUCGACAUCGAAACAGUUGUUAAACCUUCGGGGCCUGAAGAUGAGCCUGCGUCUGAUUAGGUAGUUGGAGGGGUAAUGGCCCACCAAGCCUGCGAUCAGUAGCUGGUCUGAGAGGAUGAUCAGCCACAACUGGAACUGAGACACGGUCCAGACUCCUACGGGAGGCAGCAGUAAGGAAUAUUGCUCAAUGGCCGAAAGGCUGAAGCAGCAACGCCGCGUGGAGGAUGAAAUACUUUAGUAUGUAAACUCCUGUAAGAGGGGAAAAAUAUACAGUUCUGCUGUAUUGAUUGUACCCUCAGAGUAAGCACCGGCUAACUACGUG